UAUGAAAGGGUUAACGAGGAGGGUGCUGGGUCUAAAAACUUAGUUUAAACUAACUUAAAGGUGAAGAGGCCUUUAUAAGAAAGAAGGACGACAAGACCCUAUGAAGCUUUAUCUUAUUAGGGAUUUGAAAGAUCCUUAUACGAUUUUGAUGGGAGAUCAGUAAAAAUAAGUCUUUUACCAUUAUUUUUAUCUUACAAGUGUUUCCUAAUUUUAUAUGUGUGACUAGCUACUCUAGGGAUAACAGCGCAAUUUCUCCCGAAAGAUGGUAUUGGAGGGGAAGAUUGCGACCUCGAUGUUGGC
rnacentral:rRNA from 1 species